rnacentral:rRNA from 1 species
CCCUUAGAUGUUCUGGGCCGCACGCGCGCUACAAUGGCAGACUCAGCGAGUUACCUCUGUCGAAAGGCACAGGGAAUCUUUACAGUAUCUGCCGUGAUGGGGAUAGACCCUUGUAAUUUUUGGUCUUCAACGAGGAAUUCCUAGUAAACGCAAGUCAUUAACUUGCAUUGAUUACGUCCCUGCCCUUUGUACACACCGCCCGUCGCACCUACCGAUUGAAUGGUCCGGUGAAGUCCUCGGACCCAGUUGAACCUCGAGUUGAACAGGGAAGGUUGACUAAAUCUUACCAUUUAGAGGAAGGUGAAGUCGUAACA